GAAUCAGAAGCUGGAGUGACAUUGAACUAUUGAAUUAAAGGCCACAGUGCACAUCUACAAUUCUACAAUUCAGUGGCCAAGUCAAUGCUCCUGAUAUCCCCGAUAUCUCCAUGACCACAACUGCACCUCAUCCCCAGUGAUGCUGGUGACAACACCAGCCACAUGGGCCAGGCAGCCACAGAGUCCUGUCAUUGCCAUGACCUGUCA
rnacentral:lncRNA from 1 species